UACCCAGAGGAGGUUCGAGCUAGGAUCC
rnacentral:piRNA from 1 species